rnacentral:lncRNA from 1 species
AUGAAGCUAGAUGAAAUUGGAAUAAAACUAGUACACUCCAUUUGCACUGUUGGGGACUCACAUCCAAGCUUUAUCCAUGUCCCUCUACGUGCCCUCAUCUGUGGCACAGCUGUCUUCAUGUGGUCCAGAGAAGAGACCUGCUUAGACCUUAAAAACGGGCUUGGGACAAUUUGGGUAGGGAAGACCAAGACUCAGAGUAUAGUCUCUGAGGGGAUCUCAGGGUCAGGUUCAGCAGUUAACUUCAUCACACGGAUCCCUCAGCCCAGGAAGGAUUCAGCCGAAAGUGAGCAAUACUGAGUCCCCUAGAGCACAGAGCCCGGAGCAUGGAAACUCUUGCCUGCCUCUAAAGAUGAGUCUGCUUGUAAUUUGCCUUGACAUAUUCAAAACAUGUAGUAAAGAUUACAUAUUUUGUACCUGAAUCUGUAUAAUAUGCUGAAUAUUCAACAACCAACAAGAAAUAGCCCAAUUUUUGCCCAAAUAUUCAGGAAAAGGCAUUUAAUUUUACUCACAUUGCUCUAUUGUUUGGAUUUUUUAUAAUAAGUGUACACAAACUGUAUAAAAAUAGAUUGAGAAAAGGUACUUGCAAUGCCUAAAACUGACGAUGGAAUAAUAUAGAGAAUAUCCAAAACCUCCUGUGAUUUCACAAGGAAAGUAGAAAUAUCACACAAGAGGUUGGCAAAGGAUGUGAGCAAUUUAGAGAAGAAAAUUAGAGGGCUAACAAACAUAAGGAGAAAAUCUCAAACUCUUCACAUUCAGAUCAAUGCAAAUUGAAACCAAAUUAGCUAUCAUUAUUUAUUACUAGAUCAUCAAAAUUUAGAAGUCUAAAUAAUCUAACCUAAAUUAUAGAAAUAUCUCUUAAUCAUAAACUUUGGGUAAUCCUAGGAAAUUGAUCAUUAAAUCAUCAAGUAUGAUUUUAGAUAAAUAGUUUCCAGUGUAGCAUGGAACACAAAAGAGGGUAAAAUAUGGGACAUGUCCUGUAGGUGUUUGCAGAUUUAUUGAAGAUAAAUUUAGCAACAGUCUAAAAAGGAAGGAGAAGAUCUAAUGGGCUAGGGAAAAAAUGUGUGGUUUCAAUUUGAGCUAUAUUUUUGCAGAAAGUUAAAGGAAGGAAUAAAAGAUCAGCUAAAGGAGAACA